rnacentral:rRNA from 1 species
UACAGAGGUCUCAAGCGUUGUUCGGAUUCAUUGGCGUAAAGGGUGCGUAGGCGGCGCGGUAAGUCGGAUGUGAAAUCUCGGAGCUUAACUCCGAAACUGCAUUCGAUACUGCCGUGCUUGAGGACUGGAGAGGAGACUGGAAUUUACGGUGUAGCGGUGAAAUGCGUAGAUAUCGUAAGGAAGACCAGUGGCGAAGGCGGGUCUCUGGACAGUUCCUGACGCUGAGGCACGAAGGCCAGGGGAGGCAAACGGG